rnacentral:tRNA from 1 species
CGUCGCCCUGCGGUACCGGUUCUACGCCGCCCGGGUGUCCGCCACCCGGGCGGUGGGCGACUGCCUGGUCCGGGUCACCUUCGGCGGCGACGACC